GGUAGUUUGGCCGAGUUGGUUAAGGCGAAAGACUUGAAUGGAGCUUUUAUUCCAAGGAUAUCUUUUGGGCUUUGCCCGCGCAGGUUCGAAUCCUGCAGCUAUCG
rfam:Lachancea mirantina genome assembly, chromosome: D